UUGUGUUCUAAGGGGUGCUACAACAUGUGUUGUGGCUGAGAUCAUACCCAUAAACCUGAUCCGGACAAUGCCGGCGUAGGUAAAGGAUAAUCCCUUUAG
rfam:Prevotella multisaccharivorax DSM 17128 genomic scaffold scaffold_3, whole genome shotgun sequence.